UACAGAGGUCUCAAGCGUUGUUCGGAUUCAUUGGGCGUAAAGAGCUCGUAGGCGGUUUGGCAAGUCGGGUGUGAAAUCUCUGGGCUCAACUCAGAGAGGCCACUCGAGACUGCUAUGACUAGAGUCCGGUAGGGGACCAUGGAAUUCCUGGUGUAGCGGUGAAAUGCGCAGAUAUCAGGAGGAACACCGAUGGCGAAGGCAGGUCUCUGGGCCAUAACUGACGCUGAGAAGCGAAAGCAUGGGGAGCGAACAGGA
rnacentral:rRNA from 1 species